AUGAGCCUCACUUAGACCGCACAGACUUUAAAACUGGGCCAAUAUAGAGGAGACUAGCACGGCUCCUGCAAAAGGAUGGCACCCAGUUAGAGACGUGUCCCGUGUUUGU
ensembl:snRNA U6 U6 spliceosomal RNA